CACAACAAUGGAUUUGGACUCGCUAGAAAAUGGAGUAACGUUCUGGGGUUGUGCAUCUUUGACCAGCACGGGUUUCUUUCGACGUGUCCGAUGGUGUGGUGGGGCUUUCAAUGCAGGGGCCUAGAGGAUCUCCACAUAGACCUUGAUUACCUGUGUCACUAGAAAAAUUGGAUCAGAAAAUUCAAUUUCAAGCAGCAUGAAGUCUGUGGUGAAUGAACACUUGGAGCUGAUCAUGAAUUCAUUAUCAUGGACUGUUGUAUUCAAUUUUGCAUUCAAAUGCUGAAGAGUUUUCUUCAGAUAGUCGUGACCAUAAUUAAAUUUCCUUGAUUAAGAUUCGGACCAAAUAAGGCUAAAAUAAACGGCAACAAGUAACGAAAAAGAACGGAUAGUAAACUAGGUAAUCUCCAUUGGUAGAAACUAUAAAGAGAGAGAGCAUAGAUGGCUGUCAACUUACCAGCAAAUGAAGUUGGAUCCUUGCUGCUUAGGCUUUCUGGUAUUCGACCCUCUAAGUUGUUGUAAGACAGAUUAAACACUCUGAAAUCGGUCUGUUGAAAUUCUGCCAAGAAUACUCUCUUGAGACGUUUCAUGCCAUCAAAAGCAUCAUCUGGGAUUUCACCAGAGAACUUGUUAUUGCUCAGAA